GCCCAGGUGGCGGAACAGGUAGACGCACAGGACUUAAAAUCCUGCGGUUGUUGAGACCGUGCCGGUUCAAGUCCGGCCCCGGGCACCA
rnacentral:tRNA from 1 species